AGAAUAUGUCCUCAGAGACGUUUUCUUCUUUCAAAAUCACUGGAAAGCAGUCAUUAACUUCUUUUAUGUUGGCUUAGCCCACUCACAUUAACUGAGUAUGUUUUCAUGCAAUGUAAGCUGUCCCAUCUGUGUUUAGGUGGGUAGGUUGUGAAGCACUGUAAGGUGCUACUGAAGUUAAAUGAUCUACAUUAUAUGCUGUUCUUCAACCAAAUCCUGACUCUGUAGCAGGGCAGCUGUUCCAACACCAUUUCCUACAUUAAUGUCAACUUUGAAAAGUGUUGCUCUGAUCUGCAGACUCAUCCAGAGUGGUCAGGUACAGCAGGAUGGAGCUGCUUAUCCUCAGAGGUGGAGCAGGUUGCUCAAACAGUAAACAAUAUAGCGUGUGGAAAACCACAAGGAUCCUUAGUUUUGGGUAUGUUAUUACAGGCCAAGCCAUAGAAGUGGACAAAAGCUGUCUUCUCUGUUUAUGUAGAUAAUGUGAUGGUAGAAUAGCACUCAAGGGAGGGCAGAAUACACUCUUCUAUUCCUCUGAAAGAUAACUGUUCAUAGUAUGCCUUAACACCUACAAACUGCAGACAUAACAUCAUCUCUGAGUUAACCUUUGUAGAGUCAUACCAGUGCUGCCAGUAUUCCAUGUUUUUCUUUACAGCUUACAGCAUAAGGACACCUUUUGGCUGUCUAUCGUCUGUACACCACUGAAUGUGUGAGCAGAACUCACACCCUGCUUACCAAAGGGGCAACAUAGAACCUAUGGCUUCACUGAGGCAAUAGACACAAACUUUGCCUUUACACCUUGGGACUUGGAUGAUUAUUCAUAGAGUUCAAAAUGAGGAAGAUGGUGACUGAAGUUUUGUCGGGUAUCCUGGGAUAAUAUCCACAAUUUAUGUGUGUGUGUGUGUUCUCUUUUGUGAAGGAUUAGAGUAUUUCCUCCCUGUGAGGUUGUCAUCAAUCAUCUUCCUUUAAACAAAACUUAGAAACCAUGCAUUUUGUGAUCCAUUCAGCACAGGACUAUGACCUGAUCUUGGGAUUUAAUAUAACCUAAUCUUGUAUGCAGUUUGGGGAGAAUAUUAUCAUUUGUUUGUUUUUUUUCUCUAGAUGAAAGUGCUAAUAGUUGAGGCUGUUGUUGCCAACAUUACCACUGUGACUGAUUCUCUUUAGCUUUGAUUGAAUUUGUAUUGCCAGAUUUCCUUAUCACUACUAUUUAACAUUUGAUCUAAUGCUAAAUACUUGUUCAACUGAACAUGAAAUAUACUUGUUUAUUCAGAAGCUUUACAUUCAUAGAAAAGAAUGACAAUAUGUUAAUUAUUCUUACUAUUUUAAUGCUCCUUACAUCUUCAACCAUUAAAUGAUUUUUUUUUCUUUUAAUCUGUGCAAUUAACUAAAAUGUAAUAACAAGAGAAAUCACUGUAGGAACUCCUGGAGCAUCAGGACAGAGCUAUGCUGUAUGGUUAUAAUGGCAAACACCUAAAUCAAGAGUUACAAAGCAGCUGAAAGAAAUGAAAGGCUUUGCAGAAAGCCCUCAGCAGCAGCAAGGGCUGCAGCUACAACUUUUCAGGGAAUCAGGAGUUGAAAACAGGAGGAGAAAACCAGAGACCCCUCUUCACAAUUAACUACCAGAUAACAUUAGGAGAAUAGUAGGGAGUAUCCCUUGAAACUCAGUCUUGGAGGGUAAAGGGGUCCAGAAAGGCUGGACACUUCUCAAGAAGGAGGUCUUAAAUGUGCAGGAGCAGUCUGUUCUCUUGAGCUGCAAGAUGAGCCGGUGGGAAAGAAGACCAACAUGGAUGUACAGGGAGCUCUUCCUGAAGUUUUAGGAGAAAAAGAGGAUCUACUUCCUGUGGAAGAAGGGACAGGCAACAUGGUGAGAGUACAAAGAAGUUGUUAGGAUGUGCAGGGAGAAAAUUAGUAAGGCAAAAACCCAGCCUAAACUUAGUUUGGAUGCUGGAGUAAAAGAGAACAAGAAGCUCUUUUACAAAUAUAUUAACAGGAAGAGAAAGACCAAAGAGAAUCUCCAUCCUGUAAUGGAUGAGGCUGUGAACAUGACAACUGAGGAUAAAGAAAAGGCUGAGGUUCUCAAUGACUUCUUUGUGUCUUUCUUUAAAGUUCAGACCAGUUGUCCUCGGGGUACUCUACCCCCUGACCUGGAUGUCUUGGAUGAGGAGCAGAACAAACCCCCCACAAUUCAGGAAGUCAGAGACCUGCUACUCUGCCUGGACUGCCACAAGUCCAUGGAGCCAGAUGAGAUCCAUCCGAUCCGAUCUGGAGACUUGCCAACGUGACUCCCAUCUACAAGAAUAGUCAUAAGAAAGAUCCAGGAAACUACAGGCCUUUCAUCCUGAUCUCAGUGCCAGCUGAGGUUAUGGAACAGAUCAUCUUAAGGGAGAUCACGCAGCAUGUGUGGGACAACUGGGAGAUCAGGCCCAGCCAGCACGGGUUCAUGAGGGGCAGGUCCUGCUUGAGCAACCUGAUCUCCUAUGAUUGAGUGACCCAUGAUGAGGGAAAGGCUGUUGAUCUACCUGGACUUCAGCAAAGCCUUUGACACUGUCUCCCACAGUAUUCUUCUGCAGAAGCUGGCAGCCUAUGACUUAGACAGGUACUCUCUACUGGGUAAGGAACUGGCUGGAGGGCUGGGCCCAGAGAGUGGUGGUGAAUGAAGCUAAAUCCAGCUGGCAACAGAGUAAUGAGUGGUGUUCCCCACGGGUUGGUGGUGGGGUCUAUCCUGUUUAAUAUCUUUACUGAUGAUGUGGAUGAGGGCAUUGAGAGCACAUCAUUAAGAUGACAGUAAGCUGGCCAGGAACAUCGAUCUGCCUAAGGGUAGGAAGGCCCUUCAGAGGGAUCUGAAUAGGCUGUAUGGUGGGUCUGAAGCCAAUGGGAUUAAGUUCAACCACGCCAAAUGUUGGUACCUGCAAUUUGUGAGCACACUGAAAAGGUGGGUGAUGCAUUUCAUCUGUGGCAAAAUUGAUGGGAAAGGCAAGUAAUAUUCUGGAUGGCCAUACACAGUUGUCACAUUACAAAAUGAAGAGCAUGAUGAUCAGACCAUGCACAAAUCAGCUAAUGGUGGUGACUGUUGAAAAAUAGUGUUUUGUAGCUGAGAAUUUGCACUAGUAGAUGAUAGUGUUAUUGUACUCUCUGUUACAGUGUCUAUGGAAACAAAUAGAAGGCAUUAAAUUCAGAGCAGCCUGUGUUUAUCUCCGCCUCUUGUAUUUAUUUUUUCUUAUACAAAAAAUAUCUUUCCUCUAUUGUUCAAAACUGGGUCCCUGUGCUCCAUUAGUCAUGGACCAGGUCCAAACUGGCCUAUAAAGCAUUGACAUUUGGUCACAAUGGGACAUUCCACCAAGGCCUCCUGAUGUCACAGGUGUUCCAAACCCUAACAAAAGGGGGACCCUGGGCUUAGAACCCCAGUUGCUGAGCAAGAAAUGCCAGUGGCUGCACUGAACUCGAUUGCUGAGUGGUCUUUUUGCAUCGAAGGAGGCAGAAUGGAUUUUUCGCCUGCUAAGAAGAGGCGGCUGAUGGAGAGGCUCCCCACCAUCGAACCCAUGGAGGUGGACCCUCCUGAGAGUGAUGAGGAGCCCAUGGAGGUGGACCCUCCUGAGAGUGAUGAGCCCAUGGAGGUGGACCCUCCUGAGAGUGAUGAGGAGCCCAUGGAGGUGGAUCUGGAGCCAGACGAAGAACCGAUGGAAGUGGAACCACCUCCAGCAGGGCAAAGCCACUACCAGCCCAUUGCUCUCAGGAAGUGGCAACCCUGAUCCUCCCAUCCUCCAAUGUUCCUGUGGACCCCUCCUUCCCAUCCCCACCUCUUGUCCCUUCCCAAGUCCUCUCUUCUUCACCAAGAGGAAGAAGGAAGGGCAGGGACUGGCAUCCUCGGAGCCGCUGAACCAGCGAAACAGGAGGAGUCCAGUGGAGGGACCUGAGCUGCCCAGUGACGUGAGGAGCUAAGGUGUCACAGAGGGUGGCUGCCCCUGUGGAGUAUCAGAAGGCUUUGGUUGUGACAGGAGGAAGGCUGAUGUUCAGCAUGGAGGACUUCUGUCAAGCAUGGUCAACAGAAGAUUUAAAAAAAUAGAAAAUUUAAUAUAAACAAUUAAAAACCAACAAAAAAAACCCCAAACAGAUCAAACAAACAUACACCUAAAGCCACAAAAAUGAUGAAAGCAAUAAAUGUUCUUCUGAGGUUUCUUUGGAACUUGA